rnacentral:tRNA from 1 species
GGGUGGCCGAGAGGCGAGGCGCCGCACUGCAAAUGCGGAUACGCGGGUUCAAAUCCCGCCC